AAUGAACGCUGGCGGCAGGCCUAACACAUGCAAGUCGAACGAGUAGCGGACGGGUGAGUAAUGACUGGGAAACUACCUGCUGGAGGGGGAUAACUACUGGAAAAGGUAGCUAAUACCGCAUACCAUCAGAUGUGCCCAGAUUUGAUUAGCUUGUUGGUGGGGUAAGGGCGAACCAAGGCGACGAGCCCGAGCUGGUCUGAGAGGAUGACCAGCCACACUGGAACAGUGACACUGUCCAGACUCCUACGGGAGGCAGAAGUGGGGAAUAGUGGCCAAGUGUGGAAAGCCUGAUGCAGCCAUGCCGCGUGUAUGAAGAAGGCCUUCAGGUUGUAAAGUACUUUCAGCGGGGAGGCGUUACCCGCAGAAGAAGCACCGGCUAACUCCGUGCCAGCAGCCGCGGUAAUUC
rnacentral:rRNA from 1 species